rnacentral:rRNA from 2 species
GGAAAGAUGAAAAGAACUUUGAAAAGAGAGUUAAACAGUACGUGAAAUUGUUGAAAGGGAAACGAUUGAAGUCAGUCAUACCAACGGGAAAUCAACCUUUUGAGCUUUGUCUCGUGGGUUCGAAGAGUUUAAACGCCUUCGGGUUCGCGAGAUUGGGAUCUUCUGGUGUACUUUCUCGUACGGUUAGUCAACAUCGGUUUUGAAUGUCAUAAAAUGACUGGAGGAAUGUAGCUUCGAUCUCGUAUCGAAGUGUUAUAGCCUUUGGUAGAUGUGAUGUUUGAGACCGAGGAUUGCAACGGAUACCCUCUAAGGGCUAUUCGUCUGAUCUCUGAUACGUUACCUUGACGUUGAAAGCUUGCUUAUAAUGUUAGGGUAUUACGGUCAAAAGGUUAGAACGGAUUAAAUUCGUUAAGGAUGUUGACGUAAUGACUUUAAACGACCCGUCUUGAAACACGGACCA